GAUGAACGCUAGCGACAGGCCUAACACAUGCAAGUCGAGGGGCAGCGGGGAGGUAGCAAUACCUUUGCCGGCGACCGGCGCACGGGUGAGUAACACGUAUGCAAUCCACCUGUAACAGGGGGAUAACCCGGAGAAAUCCGGACUAAUACCCCAUGAUAUGGGCUCUCCGCAUGGGGGGUCCAUUAAAGAGAGCAAUCUUGGUUACAGACGAGCAUGCGCUCCAUUAGCCAGUUGGCGGGGUAACGGCCCACCAAGGCGACGAUGGAUAGGGGUUCUGAGAGGAAGGUCCCCCACAUUGGAACUGAGACACGGUUCCAAAACUCCUACGGGAGGCAGCAGUGAGGAAUAUUGGUCAAUGGUCGGCAGACUGAACCAGCCAAGUCGCGUGAGGGAAGACGGCCCUACGGGUUGUAAACCGUCUUUUGUCGGAGAGUAAAGUGCGCUACGCGUAGCGUAUUGCAAGUAUCCGAAGAAAAAGCAUCGGCUAACUCCGUG
rnacentral:rRNA from 1 species